CCUACGGGUGGCAGCAGUGAGGAAUAUUGGUCAAUGGGCGGGAGCCUGAACCAGCCAAGUCGCGUGAAGGAAGAAGGUACUUAGUAUUGUAAACUUCUUUUGUCGGGGAACAAAGGCGGAGACGCGUCUCCGGAUGAGUGUACCCGAAGAAGAAGCCCCGGCUAACUACGUGCCAGCAGCCGCGGUAAUACGUAGGGGGCAAGCGUUAUCCGGAUUUACUGGGUGUAAAGGGGGCGCAGACGGCGAUGCAAGCCAGGAGUGAAAGCCCGGGGCCCAACCCCGGGACUGCUCUUGGAACUGCGUGGCUGGAGUGCAGGAGGGGCAGGCGGAAUUCCUGGUGUAGCGGUGAAAUGCGUAGAUAUCAGGAGGAACACCGGUGGCGAAGGCGGCCUGCUGGACUGCAACUGACGUUGAGGCCCGAAAGCGUGGGGAGCAAACAGGAUUAGAUACCCUGGUAGUC
rnacentral:rRNA from 1 species